GACAGAGGAUGCAAGCGUUAUCCGGAAUGAUUGGGCGUAAAGCGUCUGUAGGUGGCUUUUUAAGUCCGCCGUCAAAUCCCAGGGCCUCAACCCUGGACAGGCGGUGGAAACUACCAAGCUGGAGUACGGUAGGGGCAGAGGGAAUUUCCGGUGGAGCGGUGAAAUGACGUAGAGAUCGGAAAGAACACCAACGGCGAAGGCAGUGUCCUGGGGAGUACCUGACGCUCAGGUGCGAAGCC
rnacentral:rRNA from 1 species